UACGUAGGGGGCAAGCGUUGUCCGGAUUUAUUGGGCGUAAAGAGCUCGUAGGUGGUUCGGUAAGUCGGAUGUGAAAUCUCCAGGCUCAACCUGGAGGGGUCAUUCGAUACUGCCGUGACUAGAGUUCGGUAGGGGAGUGUGGAAUUCCUGGUGGAGCGGUGAAAUGCGCAGAUAUCAGGAGGAACACCCGUAGCGAAGGCGGCACUCGUGGGCCGAUACUGACACUGAGGAGCGAAAGCGUGGGGAGCGAACAGG
rnacentral:rRNA from 1 species